rnacentral:rRNA from 1 species
AGCUUGUUGGUAGGGUAAUGGCCUACCAAGGCAACGAUCAGUAGCUGGUCUGAGAGGAUGAUCAGCCACACUGGGACUGAGACACGGCCCAGACUCCUACGGGAGGCAGCAGUGGGGAAUUUUCCGCAAUGGGCGAAAGCCUGACGGAGCAACGCCGCGUGAGGGAUGAAGGCCUCUGGGCUGUAAACCUCUUUUCUCAAGGAAGAAGACCUGACGGUACUUGAGGAAUAAGCCACGGCUAAUUCCGUGCCAGCAGCCGCGGUAAUACGGGAGUGGCAAGCGUUAUCCGGAAUUAUUGGGCGUAAAGCGUCCGCAGGCGGCCUUGUAAGUCUGUUGUUAAAGCGUGGAGCUCAACUCCAUUUAAGCAAUGGAAACUACAAGGCUGGAGUGUGGUAGGGGCAGAGGGAAUUCCCGGUGUAGCGGUGAAAUGCGUAGAUAUCGGGAAGAACACCAGUGGCGAAGGCGCUCUGCUGGGCCAUAACUGACGCUCAUGGACGAAAGCCAGGGGAGCGAAAGGGAUUAGAUACCCCUGUAGUCCUGGCCGUAAACGAUGAACACUAGGUGUCGGGGGAAUCGACCCCCUCGGUGUCGUAGCCAACGCGUUAAGUGUUCCGCCUGGGGAGUACGCACGCAAGUGUGAAACUCAAAGGAAUUGACGGGGGCCCGCACAAGCGGUGGAGUAUGUGGUUUAAUUCGAUGCAACGCGAAGAACCUUACCAGAGUUUGACAUCCUGCGAACCCCUGAGAAAUCGGGGGGUGCCUUCGGGAGCGCAGAGACAGGUGGUGCAUGGCUGUCGUCAGCUCGUGUCGUGAGAUGUUGGGUUAAGUCCCGCAACGAGCGCAACCCACGUCUUUAGUUGCCAGCGUUCAGUUGGGCACUCUAGAGAGACCGCCGGUGAUAAACCGGAGGAAGGUGUGGAUGACGUCAAGUCAUCAUGCCCCUUACAUCCUGGGCUACACACGUACUACAAUGCUACGGACAAAGGGCAGCAAGCUCGCGAGAGUUAGCAAAUCCCAUAAACCGUGGCUCAGUUCAGAUCGUAGGCUGCAACUCGCCUACGUGAAGGAGGAAUCGCUAGUAAUCGCAGGUCAGCAUACUGCGGUGAAUACGUUCCCGGGCCUUGUACACACCGCCCGUCACACCAUGGAAGUUGGCCAUGCCCGAAGUCGUUACUCCAACCCUUGUGGAGGAGGACGCCGAAGGUGGGGCUGAUGACUGGGGUGAAGUCGUAACAAGGUAGCCGUACCGGAAGGUGCGGCUG